GACGAACGCUGGCGGCGUGCCUAAUACAUGCAAGUAGAACGCUGAAGGAGGAGCUUGCUUCUCUGGAUGAGUUGCGAACGGGUGAGUAACGCGUAGGUAACCUGCCUGGUAGCGGGGGAUAACUAUUGGAAACGAUAGCUAAUACCGCAUAAGAGUAGAUGUUGCAUGACAUUUGCUUAAAAGGUGCAAUUGCAUCACUACCAGAUGGACCUGCGUUGUAUUAGCUAGUUGGUGGGGUAACGGCUCACCAAGGCGACGAUACAUAGCCGACCUGAGAGGGUGAUCGGCCACACUGGGACUGAGACACGGCCCAGACUCCUACGGGAGGCAGCAGUAGGGAAUCUUCGGCAAUGGACGGAAGUCUGACCGAGCAACGCCGCGUGAGUGAAGAAGGGUGUCGGAUCGUAAAGCUCGGUUGUAAGAGAAGAACGAGUGUGAGAGUGGAAAGUUCACACUGUGACGGUAUCUUACCAGAAAGGGACGGCUAACUACGUG
rnacentral:rRNA from 1 species